CCCUUAAAUGUCCUGGGCCGCACGCGCGCUACACUGAUGCAUGCAACGAGUUUAUAACCUUGGCCUGAAAGGUCUGGGUAAUCUUUUGAACGUGCAUCGUGAUAGGGAUAGAUUAUUGCAAUUGUUAAUCUUGAACGAGGAAUUCCUAGUAAACGCGAGUCAUCAGCUCGCAUUGAUUACGUCCCUGCCCUUUGUACACACCGCCCGUCGCACCUACCGAUUGAAUGGUUCGGUGAAGAUCUCGGACUUCGAUAUUUAUUCUUUAUUGAGUUUAUAUUGUGGGAAGUUAUCUAAACCUCAUCAUUUAGAGGAAGGUGAAGUCGUAACA
rnacentral:rRNA from 1 species